AUUGAACGCUGGCGGCAGGCCUAACACAUGCAAGUCGAACGAGUGGCGGACGGGUGAGUAAUGUCUGGGAAACUGCCCGAUGGAGGGGGAUAACGACUGGAAACGGUAGCUAAUACCGCAUAACACCGGAUGUGCCCAGAUGGGAUUAGCGAGCAGGUGGGGUGACGGCUCACCUAGGCGACGAUCCCUAGCAGGUGUGAGAGGAUGACCGGCCACACUGGAACUUAGACACGGUCCAGACUCCUACUGUAGGCAGCAGUGGGGAGUAUUGCACAAUGUGCGCUAGUCUGAUGCAGCCCGGCCGCGUGUAUGAAGAAGGCCUUCGGUUUGUAAAGUACUUUCAUCGAGGAGGCGUUACUCGCAGAAGAAGCACCGGCUAACUCCGUGCCAGCCGCCGCGGUAAUUC
rnacentral:rRNA from 1 species